rnacentral:rRNA from 1 species
GAUGGACGCUGGCGGCGUGCCUAAUACAUGCAAGUCGAGCGAACAGAUGAGGAGCUUGCUCCUCUGACGUUAGCGGCGGACGGGUGAGUAACACGUGGAUAACCUCCCUAUAAGACUGGGAUAACUUCGGGAAACCGGAGCUAAUACCGGAUAAUAUAUUGAACCGCAUGGUUCAAUAGUGAAAGACGGUUUUGCUGUCACUUAUAGAUUGAUCCGCGCCGCAUUAGCUAGUUGGUAAGGUAACGGCUUACCAAGGCAACGAUGCGUAGCCGACCUGAGAGGGUGAUCGGCCACACUGGAACUGAGACACGGUCCAGACUCCUACGGGAGGCAGCAGUAGGGAAUCUUCCGCAAUGGGCGAAAGCCUGACGGAGCAACGCCGCGUGAGUGAUGAAGGUCUUCGGAUCGUAAAACUCUGUUAUGAGGGAAGAACAAAUGUGUAAGUAACUAUGCACGUCUUGACGGUACCUAAUCAGAAAGCCACGGCUAACUACGUG